GAUGAACGCUAGCGGCAGGCCUAAUACAUGCAAGACGAACGGUAAGUUGAGUAGCAAUACUUAGCCAAGAGUGUCGUACGGGUGCGUAACACGUAUGCAACCUACCCUAUACAGGAGGAUAGCCUAGGGAAACCUGGAUUAACCCUUCAUAGUAUUAUUGGAUGGCAUCAUUUGAUAAUUAAAACUGAGGUGGUAUAGGAUGGGCAUGCGUCUGAUUAGUUAGUUGGCGGGGUAAUGGCCCACCAAGACGAUGAUCAGUAGGGGUUCUGAGAGGAAGAUCCCCCACACUGGCACUGAGAUACGGGCCAGACUCCUACGGGAGGCAGCAGUAGGGAAUAUUGGUCAAUGGAUGCAAGUCUGAACCAGCCAUGCCGCGUGCAGGAAGAAGGCCUUCUGGGUUGUAAACUGCUUUUGCCAGGGGAUAAAAUUUCCAUGCGUGGAAAACUGAAGGUACCUGGUGAAUAAGCCACGGGCUAACUACGUGCCAGCAGCCGCGGUAAU
rnacentral:rRNA from 1 species